GAAAGGAGAACCAGGUAGAAAGGGAGCCAAAAGAUAUGUUUCCCUCAAACUUUUAAUAAUGCUACGGGGGGGGGGGGACGCCACAAUAGUAGAGAGAGUUAAAAUGAAGUAGUUCAAUAAUGAGAGGCUGAAAGAUAGCAAAGGGAGCUGGACAGAUGGCUCCGUGGUUAAGAACACUGGACAGAUGGCUCCGUGGUUAAGAACACUGGACAGAUGGCUCCGUGGUGAAGAACGCUGGACAGGUGGCUCCGUGGUGAAGAACGCUGGACAGGUGGCUCCGUGGUGAAGAACGCUGGUCAGGUGGCUCCGUGGUGAAGAACGCUGGACAGGUGGCUCCGUGGUGAAGAACACUGGCUUCUCUUGUCAAGGACUGGGUUCCUUUCUCAGCACCCACAUGGUGGCUCAUGAUUGUCAUUAACUCUGGUCCCAGGAGAUCUGAUGCCCUCUUCAGGCUCCUGCAGGUACUGCUGUGUAUCCCAGGCUGGCCUGGCAUUUGAGGGAGUCCUCCUUUCUCUGCCUCCUGAGUGCU
ensembl:lncRNA